rnacentral:rRNA from 1 species
ACUCCUACGGGAGGCAGCAGUGGGGAAUCUUAGACAAUGGGCGCAAGCCUGAUCUAGCCAUGCCGCGUGAGUGAUGAAGGCCUUAGGGUCGUAAAGCUCUUUCGCCAGAGAUGAUAAUGACAGUAUCUGGUAAAGAAACCCCGGCUAACUCCGUGCCAGCAGCCGCGGUAAUACGGAGGGGGUUAGCGUUGUUCGGAAUUACUGGGCGUAAAGCGCGCGUAGGCGGACCAGAAAGUU